rnacentral:rRNA from 1 species
GAUGAACGCUGGCGGCGUGCCUAAUUCAUGCAAGUCGAGCGCGAGAAUGAGGAGCUUGCUCCUCAUAAUCGAGCGGCGGACGGGUGAGUAACACGUAGGCAGCCUACCCUUGAGAUUGGGAUAACUACCGGAAACGGUAGCUAAUACCGGAUACGACUUUUCCACACAAGUGGAAUUGUUAAAAGGCGGAUUUAUCUGCCGCUCAUGGAUGGGCCUGCGGUGCAUUAGCUAGUUGGUGAGGUAGUGGCUCACCAAGGCGACGAUGCAUAGCCGGCCUGAGAGGGUGAUCGGCCACACUGGGACUGAGACACGGCCCAGACUCCUACGGGAGGCAGCAGUAGGGAAUCUUCCGCAAUGGACGCAAGUCUGACGGAGCAACGCCGCGUGAGUGAUGAAGGGUUUCGGCUCGUAAAACUCUGUUGUUAAGGAAGAACACUUGAGGUAGUAACUGGCCUUGAGAUGACGGUACUUAACCAGAAAGCCACGGCUAACUACGUGCCAGCAGCCGCUGUAA